CUGAGAUUCGUUUUACCCUUCAUGAAGUCUAGGUUCAUGUUUGGGGGAUUGGAGAGGGAGAGCUAUAUUCACAAUCUGGGGAUUGCUAUAAACACUAUACUCCCUUCGCUCUCUGGACAAGGAGAGUUAUAACCACUGGAUCCUGGUCUCGGGUCCAGAGUGGGUGGAGGACAGCGAGACCCCAACCAAGCUGCGGCGGUUUGUGGG